GGCGCAGUGGCGGAGUGGUUAUCGCGUAAGACUAGAACAUCUAGUGAGCGAGCUCAUCUAGAACAUAGUUCAUCUUAUUCCUUCGGGAGCGUCUGUUCGAAUCAGGCCUGCGUCG